rnacentral:rRNA from 1 species
AACGAACGCUGGCGGCACGCCUAACACAUGCAAGUCGAGCGCUACCUUCGGGUGGAGCGGCGGACGGGUUAGUAACGCGUGGGAACAUACCCUUCUCUAAGGAAUAGCCUCUGGAAACGGAGAGUAAUACCUUAUACGCCCUUCGGGGGAAAGAUUUAUCGGUGAAGGAUUGGCCCGCGUUAGAUUAGAUAGUUGGUGGGGUAAUGGCCUACCAAGUCUACGAUCUAUAGCUGGUUUGAGAGGAUGAUCAGCAACACUGGGACUGAGACACGGCCCAGACUCCUACGGGAGGCAGCAGUGGGGAAUCUUAGACAAUGGGGCGAAAGCCUGAUCUAGCGAUGCCGCGUGUGUGACGAAGGCCUUAGGGUCGUAAAGCACUUUCGCCAGGGAUGAUAAUGACAGUACCUGGUAAAGAACCCCGGCUAACUCCGUGCCAG